CAUCCCUGUGCCCCAGCUCCCAGCCUGCCGUAGUCACUCCAUAGUGUUUCCUGAAAGGCCACACUAAUCAAACACAUUUUUUAAAAUUGUCUUUAUAUGAGCUACAGAAAAACAAUUGUCACAGGCCGUUUAUGGUUAAUAGAGAAACAACAAAGAAAAGAAUCAACCCUGUAAACAAGCAGAGGGGCAGAUUGGGCUUGUGGGUAGCAGACUCUGAGGCAGCGAUUAGUACCAGGAAGUUUAAAGUGCUCGGGGACCAGGCUGGGGAAGAGAAGGGCAGGGGAAGCAGGACAGACAGGAGAAGUCAGGCUGCCCUUGGGCCACAGGAAGCUCAGGUCACUUUGGGAGCCAUUCUGGAGAUGGGAUACUUUUCAGAACUUGCCAAGGUGGCAGGGGGUGCCGGGGCUUCAGACCACCUGCGUCAAUCAGUGGGGGUCGGGGGGCUGCCCUGGGAAGGGUCUGCCCCAGGCGUGAGGCUGCCUUCCGCCUUCACUACUCCCAGCACAGGGGCAAGAAGCCCAUCAGCCCGAAGGAGGAGCCGGGCUGCACAGAGCGGCGUCCACCCACGCAGGGUGAUGCAGAGUGAAAAGCACAUUUGCAGCCAUUGGGACUGUGAACCUCAGGCUUGCCUGCUGGCCUCACAGCAAGAACACGUGUGUCCUGUGGGAUCAGAUCAGGGCUCACAGAGUGAACAUCCCAUGGGUGCUGGGCUUCCUGUAUUUGUUCCUUCCCUUGGCCACAACAGGAAGCCCUUCGCAGGUAUGUCCCGUAGUCUCAGUCCAUUGCUCAGGAAGACUCCUCGUCUUGUCCACCAAAGGCAAUAGCAGCUCUGGCCUGACGCCCACCCCUGCCCUGCACCUGCCUGCCCUGGAUCUGCCGGGGGUCUGGAUACCCCUGGAGCUCCGGGGAGAAGGGCAAACAGGAGCAUGUGAGGGGCCAGGGUUUGAGUAAAAUGUCCUGGAGCCUGGAGGUCCAAAGAGGCCACCCUGGCCCAUAAGAGCUAGGAAGCUGGGUACGGAGUCUGCACCUCCUUCUCAGCACCCUGUGUCCUUCCUUACCAUGGAUUCACAUGGGAGCAGGCUCCACGGGUGGGAGGUGUGCCUGGUUCCAGGAGCCCCUCAUCCUGGGCAAAUAAGGAUGGUCGGUCCACCUAACAGCUACCCGGCAUGACGUCAGGUAACAAAGGCCUCUGCCUGGGCCCAGACCAUGUCCCCCUACACUCUCCCUAGCCCCUUCCCGUCAAGUACAAAACAGAGAAAUAGGAUCCGAUGGUUUUAAAAGUAGAAUGUGACAAGCAUCAGACCUGGAAAAGAACUGGAGGACCAAGCAGCACGAGGCUUUUACUCAGUGUAUGAGGUUCGUGUUAAUUCACUUUAUCCUGAAAACAGUCUUGAGAGGUAGGAAUUAGUGUCCCCUUUCACAAGAGAGGAAAAAUGAGGCCCAAUACGGUUAGUGACUUGCACAGGGUCCCACAGUGACAGGUGGCAUCCCUGGGUCCCGGUCCUGAGCCUCUGCACCCACCAACAUCCCGCUCUCAGCUGGCGCAGGGCUGCCAGCGUGUGGUUUUAGGGUGGAGAAUAAACACCGUCCUAGUUACACACCGGGGUCAGGAGGACGGUUAUCACUGUGUGUGUGUGUGCGCGCGCGUGUGUGUGUGCGUGUGUGUGUGUGUGUGUGUGUGUCCUGGCACCAGGUCUGUCAGUUCCUCAGUCUGAGUCUCCCCUCUAGUGCCUUCUCCUGGACAUAGGAAAGAGGGGCUGCCUCCCUGCUGUCCCCCAGGAUUGCCCCCUGCCCCUUCCUCCCUCCCCACUUCCAUCCUGGAGUGGCACCUGCAGGCUGGCUGCCCACCAAGGCCCCAGCUGUGUCACUCCCCUGACUAUGACAUUUGAUCUCCCACCUGGGAGGGCUGUGUCCCAAGGCCAAGGGUGGGCAGGCCACAUCUCCCCGCAGUCUCUCAUUCCAGUGGCUCCAGGCUGGUGGAUACCCCUCCCUAGGGGAGGAAUGCAGUCCAUAUUCUUCAGCCUUCGCCGCAGAAGAAGCCAACUCUGAGGCACGAGCCAGUGAGGCAGGGGCAGACGCCCCCGGCCAUUGGGCCCCUGGCCCAGGCUCCUUAGCUCCAUACUCCCUGCCCCUCCCAGCCCAGGCAGUCCUCCAGGCUCUGGUCAGCUCUGAGUUGUCUUUGCUGUGUCACCAGUGGGUCCUCUCUUCUCAGGAGACAAUGAGUCCCCAGAGGGAAGGUGACACCCCCCUUCUCUGAGCCAUGGCCUCCCCUCCAGUGGACUCUCAAGGGCCCCCUGUUCUCUUCAGGAGCCCAGACCCGGAGCCUGGGUGUGGGAACUGGGGGAGAGAGCCCUGAUCAGCCUCUGCAUGCAAGUCGAGGGACAGGCUGGUCCUGCGGGUGAGGGGUUCUCAGCUGCGCAGUCACAGCUUUCCCUGGAAGGGCCGGCCAGCAGGCAGCAGCAGCGGGAGUGUGGGCUCUGCUGGCUCCCAGGACUCGACCGACAAGCAGCCACAGUCAGAUCAGGGCCCAUCUAGAGGCCCCAUAGAGGACACUUGGCCCAGGGGGUGGGGGGCUUGGACAGCUCUGGGAUCCCCAACACCUUUGGUGACCCCCAACUCUUAGUCACUGUUACUUCUCUUCCAGGGUGGGACCCUUGGGACACGGGCUGUUUCUGGACUCUUUCUUCCCCCAAGGGCAUGGGGACGCUUGAAAAGAGCAGAGGGAAACUGAGGACAGAGCCCCGGGUGGGGAGAGACAGCCCUAGCUGUCCACCCCUCCCCCCAUCAGCUUGAUAGUAAGAGGUUCCAAGGCCGAUGGGAGCUGAGGUCUCUGUCUGCAAACAGCACACCUGGGGCUUCUCUGCCAUCCAGCCAGGGCCCAGGAGCCUGUGGCUCUCAGCAGAAUCACCUCAGUGGCUCCCCCCCACCCCCAGGGACUUCCCACCUGGUGCCCCUGCUCUGCCCCCUGUUCCCCGCCAGGUUCCGGGCAGCCCAGGGGAACUGAGAGGAUGCAGUGCAGCCUCCGGUUCUGGGAAGGCCUGAGUCCAGCAUUGCACAGUCCUCAUCCCCUGCCUGGCUCCAAUCCAGACAGGUCCCCAUCUUCACUCCUCCUCUGGUCUCCCGGGACCCCUCUGGGAGAAGCUCCCCCCCACCAUACAGUUAAGUGGCUUCAGACCAAGCAGGCUUCCACGGAGGCUCUGGUCUUGUGGACGGGUCCCUCCAGGAUCUGGCAGGAUCACGGCACAUGCUGUAGCCUGCGAGGAUGGGGACAGAGAUGAAGAGGGCGGUCCUCCUGCCCACCACGCACAGCUCCUGGACCAGCCCAGCCCCUCUGCCUCUGCCCUCCGCUUGCUGUUGGCUCUGCCCCAGAAGGCUAUGCUGAGCUGUCGCCGCCUGCCCACCCACCUCCCUCACCUGGGUGCUGUAUGGUCCUCCUGACUGGACACAGAACCCAUAGACCACGAUCAGCAUCACAGGCACUGGGAGCAAGGCCAGCACCGCCACGAGCACAGCAGGAUAGAAGUCCUGGUGCCUGCGGAGACAGGACAGAGUGCAGAGGAGGGGGAGCCGCAAUGGAAAAUCCUGAUGGAACUCAGGAGUCUCGGACGCCAAUAAAGCCACCUGCCACUUUCAGCAGGUCACUGACCUUCUCUGGACCUGUUUCCUCACCCGUAGGGAGAUGCAUAUUACCUCCACACUGUUGUGAGGAUUAAGAUAAACAGUGCAAAUGAACAAGCCUUGUAGAUUAUAAAAUUAUGUGAAUAUAUAUUUUUUCCUACAUUUCCUUCAAGCUCUAAAACUCUGCCCUGUAUUCCCACCUUUGAUCUCUAGGGGGCCACCUUCUCCACUUUGCCCUCUGUUUUUCCAUCAUCACCCUUUCAGAUCCUCAGUUCUCUUGUGGGCCAACCGGAAGCCUGGGAGCCCCUUGGGUGCUGUUGGAAGCGGGGAAGGGCUCUGCACAUAAGCCCAGUGAGUGGAGGGGUCCAGGGUAAACAAGGCUUGGAACCAAGACCCGGGUUAGUUUCUCCCUGUGUGGGCUUGGGUAGGUCACUGCCCCUCUCUGAACCUCUGUUUCUUUCUCUAGAAAAUGGAGGGGAUGAGGAUGAGUCAGAAUAGCCAUGACUUCACAUGAGCUCUGUUAAAACAAGACAACAGACCCAAAAUGGAGUCACUUAUGCUAAGCCCCACGUCACCAAACCAAAACUUAAUCUAUGGUUUCAGCUAUCCCAGAAACGAAAUCUUAAGCCAGUCCAUCAGGAAUCACCUGAUCACCCCUAGUUAAGCUAUCUGCCUGAUAGACCCCUGCCAUCCCCUAAAGGAAAGCAACUUUGCAAUAACCAACCUGCUUUUUUGCCAGUAUAACUUCUUUGUUUCCACUCCUCUAUAAAAGUCUUUCAUUUUAUGAAAAGCUCAGAGCUCUUCUUUAUCUGCUAGAUUGGAUGCUG